rnacentral:misc_RNA from 1 species
GACUGCCGAGGAGUGGUGGUGAUCGCCGGUGGCGGUGGAACCGGAAGAUGAAGAACGGGAAUGACCCUCAUGAAACGGGAAAAAGCCAAGAAAGCGAGGGAGUUCAGGUUUAGAAGUACACAAACACCCACAUCACGGAUUGAAGCAAAAUGAAGGUGGGUUCAUCCAUUUUCAUGAUAUUUAUUGGAGAAGAAGCCAUCCAGAAAAG